AGAAUCAACGCUGGCGGCGUGCCUAACACAUGCAAGUCGCACGAGAAAGGGACUUCGGUCCUGAGUACAGUGGCGCACGGGUGAGUAACACGUGAAUCAUCUACCUUCGAGUGUGGAAUAACUGAGAGAAAUCUUAGCUAAUACCUCAUAAUACCUACGGGUCAAAGCAGCAAUGCGCUUGAAGAGGAGUUCGCGGCAGAUUAGUUAGUUGGCGGGGUAAUGGCCCACCAAGACGAUGAUCUGUAUCCGGCCUGAGAGGGCGCACGGACACACUGGAACUGAAACACGGUCCAGACUCCUACGGGAGGCAGCAGUGGGGAAUUUUGCGCAAUGGGGGAAACCCUGACGCAGCAACGCCGCGUGGAGGAUGAAAUAUCUUGGUAUGUAAACUCCUUUCGAUGGGGAAGAUAAUGACGGUACCCAUAGAAGAAGCCCGGCUAACUUCGCGCCAGCAGCCGCGGUAA
rnacentral:rRNA from 1 species